UACGUAGGGGGCAAGCGUUGUCCGGAAUCAUUGGGCGUAAAGAGCGUGUAGGCGGCCCGAUAAGUCCGCUGUGAAAGUCCAGGGCUCAACCCUGGGAUGCCGGUGGAUACUGUCGGGCUCGAGUCCGGAAGAGGAGUGUGGAAUUCCGUGGUGUAGCGGUGAAAUGCGCAGAUAUCAGGAGGAACACCAAUGGCGAAGGCAGCACUCUGGGACGUGACUGACGCUGAGACGCGAAAGCGUGGGGAACAAACAGG
rnacentral:rRNA from 1 species